UCUAGAUUAGAGUUUGAUCAUGGCUCAGAUUGAACGCUGGCGGCAGGCCUAACACAUGCAAGUCGAGCGGUAGCACAGAGAGCUUGCUCUCGGGUGACGAGCGGCGGACGGGUGAGUAAUGUCUGGGAAACUGCCUGAUGGAGGGGGAUAACUACUGGAAACGGUAGCUAAUACCGCAUAAUGUCGCAAGACCAAAGUGGGGGACCUUCGGGCCUCAUGCCAUCAGAUGUGCCCAGAUGGGAUUAGCUAGUAGGUGGGGUAACGGCUCACCUAGGCGACGAUCCCUAGCUGGUCUGAGAGGAUGACCAGCCACACUGGAACUGAGACACGGUCCAGACUCCUACGGGAGGCAGCAGUGGGGAAUAUUGCACAAUGGGCGCAAGCCUGAUGCAGCCAUGCCGCGUGUGUGAAGAAGGCCUUCGGGUUGUAAAGCACUUUCAGCGGGGAGGAAGGCGGUGAGGUUAAUAACCUCAUCGAUUGACGUUACCCGCAGAAGAAGCACCGGCUAACUCCGUGCCAGCAGCCGCGGUAAUACGGAGGGUGCAAGCGUUAAUCGGAAUUACUGGGCGUAAAGCGCACGCAGGCGGUCUGUCAAGUCGGAUGUGAAAUCCCCGGGCUCAACCUGGGAACUGCAUUCGAAACUGGCAGGCUAGAGUCUUGUAGAGGGGGGUAGAAUUCCAGGUGUAGCGGUGAAAUGCGUAGAGAUCUGGAGGAAUACCGGUGGCGAAGGCGGCCCCCUGGACAAAGACUGACGCUCAGGUGCGAAAGCGUGGGGAGCAAACAGGAUUAGAUACCCUGGUAGUCCACGCUGUAAACGAUGUCGAUUUGGAGGUUGUGCCCUUGAGGCGUGGCUUCCGGAGCUAACGCGUUAAAUCGACCGCCUGGGGAGUACGGCCGCAAGGUUAAAACUCAAAUGAAUUGACGGGGGCCCGCACAAGCGGUGGAGCAUGGUGGUUUAAUUCGAUGCAACGCGAAGAACCUUACCUGGUCUUGACAUCCACAGAACUUUCCAGAGAUGGAUUGGUGCCUUCGGGAACUGUGAGACAGGUGCUGCAUGGCUGUCGUCAGCUCGUGUUGUGAAAUGUUGGGUUAAGUCCCGCAACGAGCGCAACCCUUAUCCUUUGUUGCCAGCGGUUAGGCCGGGAACUCAAAGGAGACUGCCAGUGAUAAACUGGAGGAAGGUGGGGAUGACGUCAAGUCAUCAUGGCCCUUACGACCAGGGCUACACACGUGCUACAAUGGCAUAUACAAAGAGAAGCGACCUCGCGAGAGCAAGCGGACCUCAUAAAGUAUGUCGUAGUCCGGAUUGGAGUCUGCAACUCGACUCCAUGAAGUCGGAAUCGCUAGUAAUCGUAGAUCAGAAUGCUACGGUGAAUACGUUCCCGGGCCUUGUACACACCGCCCGUCACACCAUGGGAGUGGGUUGCAAAAGAAGUAGGUAGCUUAACCUUCGGGAGGGCGCUUACCACUUUGUGAUUCAUGACUGGGGUGAAGUCGUAACAAGGUAACCGUA
rnacentral:rRNA from 1 species